UUGAAACACUGGUUCUCAUCCGAUCACUGACGUUAAGCAAUGCUAAACCUGGUCAGUACCUAGAUGGGUGACCGCUUGGGAAUACCAGGUGCUGUAAG
rnacentral:rRNA from 1 species